AUGUUGACUUGUAACAUUUGUGGCUUUAACGCCCGGUCUUCGACUGAUUACUUGAAACACUGCCGAACACACAGAAAUAAUAAUAAUGUAUUUUUUUUAUGUGGCCAUAGGGAUUGCAGAAGGAAGCUUAACACAUACAGUAGCCUUGCUGUGCAUAUGUCACGAGCACAUGUAGACAGUAGGAGCACACAAACAUGGAACCGCAAUGUGUCUGUACAGUUAAAGUGCUCGUUUAAUUUUUGCAGCAGUGAAUAUGCUGAUCUUAAAACUUUAAAGUGUCAUUUGAGUGGUCACAUAGAUGAGGGUUUGACUGUAACAUGUCCCUUUGAUGGAUGUUCUAAGACAUUCAAUGUAAAGUCAUCCUUUUUAACGCAUAUUUCCAGAUACCAUAAAGGGUGGGAUGUUACCAAGAUAGCCCCAGUUCAUAUAUGUGAACUAACAGAACGGUCUUUCCAAGGUGAAGGAUCACAUGUAGAACCUGAAAGUUUUAACAUUGAUGCAGAACAAAGUGAUAAUUUCUGCAGUGAUCAAGUGAAAGACAACUUCACAGAGAGUCUUGCUCAGUUUUACUUGGGUUUACAGGCAAAAUAUUUGGUCCCAGCCUCCACAAUAACAGAAAUAGCAAAUGAAAUGAGAACUAUAAGUGAUAUUCAACAGGAAUAUACUGUGGAUGCACUAGCCCGUGAACUGGGGCAGUAUGGUGUUCCAAAGGAGACUGUAACAUCUCUUGGGAAUAGUGUAUACGAGCAGAGCCCUAUGCACAAGGCAUUACAUGAAAAGGGUCAUUUAACUACGCAACACAAGAGGCUGAAAUAUUACAAGUCACACUAUGACUAUGUUGAACCUGUUGAAGUCUUUCUUGGACGCAAUCGCAGUGGCCAGAAGAGGCACUAUCAUUACAUCCCAGUACUGGAAACCCUCAAAGUAAUUCUGAAACAGCAAGGUUUAGAUCAGCACAGUCCUAGUUCAAAUUCUGAAGAUGAUGUACUCUGUGAUGUCACUGAUGGGUGGGCCAUCAAAUCCAAUGCCAUGUUUUCCUCAGACCCAGACAGUUUAAAGGUAAUGCUCUUUCAGGAUGCUUUUGAGGUGGCUAAUCCACUCGGAUCUGCCAAGACAAAGCAUAAAGUAUUGGCUGUCUACUUCACACUUGGAAAUUUUCAUCCACACCAACGAUCAACUGUUGAUCAGAUACAGUUGGCAUUACUCUGUGUAGAGAAAGAUUGCAAAUACUUUGGAAUGGAUAAGAUUUUCAAUAAGCUAGUGUCAGACUUGUGUGAGCUGGAGGAAAGGGGCAUAUCUUUCAAUGGAAAGAUAUAUAAAGGCACUGUUGCGUGCAUAAUGGGAGAUAAUCUGGGCUCCCACAUGAUUGGUGGCUUUACAGAAAAAUUUCAGCACAGCUCAAUAUUUCUGCAGAUACUGUUUGGCAACAAAAAGUGA
ensembl:lncRNA